AGUAAAAGUCGUAACAAGGUUUCCGUAGGCGAACCUGCGGAAGGAUCAUUACUAUAAACGCCCUCCGGGGCUACCUGAGGCCGCAAGGCCAAAGGUCCAACCCUUUGUGAACCAAAAAACCUUUCGCUUCGGCAGCUGGGCUUGAUUGCCUGUCAGCCUGCCGUUAGCACAAUUCAAAAACCUGAUGUCUAAACAUUGUCUGAUAACCAAAUUUUCGAAUGAAAAUUAAAACUUUCAACAACGGAUCUCUUGGUUCCCGCAUCGAUGAAGAACGCAGCGAAACGCGAUAGUUAAUGUGAAUUGCAGAAUUCAGUGAAUCAUCGAGUCUUUGAACGCACAUUGCGCCCAUUGGUAUUCCUUUGGGCAUGUCUGUUUGAGCGUCAUUACAACCCUCAGCUAACGCUGGUUUUGAACUAGAACGGGUAACACCGCGCUGGUCUUAAAGUUGUAAGCUCUGCUGGCUGCUCUGCCAAACCAGAACAUAGUAAACACUACUUGUUAGGGUACGGCUAGGUGGUUCCGGCCUGAACAAAACCUCUCUUUCUAAGGUUUGACCUCAGAUCAGACAAGGAUACCCGCUGAACUUAAGCAUAUCAAUAAGCGGAGGAAAAGAAACCAACAGGGAUUGCCCCAGUAACG
rnacentral:rRNA from 1 species